GAGGCGCUUGGGAGGACUCCCCCAGUUCUGUUAAGAGCUGGGCACAAAGAGCCCUUUGCACUCCAGCCGCAGGAGCGAGGAGGAGCCGAGCUAGAUGCACAUGGGCGUGGGGACUCCGGUACAACACCAACCCACAAGACCUGGGGCGUCCAGCGCAGCCUCAAACCCAGGGCAUCUCUGCACUCUCAUCGCGACGUCGCUCUGGAUGCUGUUUGCAUAUCCUUGGGGAGUCACUGCUUUGGCACAACAGUCCUGCGAGGUGCUGGAAUUCCGUCUGUUCUCAUCACACGGACAUGGCUGAUCUGUCUCAGUGGUACCUGGGGGCAAAGCAGGGAGCCGGGCGGUGGAGGCCAACAUUGUUACCAAGUUGGCUCUGUCUCAACACAGGGACUGAGCCUUCUGAGCCUCAAGCUUUCUCUCUACACUAUGAGACUGAAUCAGCCUGACUCUGGAACUAGGGUUCCCUGGAAACCUCCACUGUCCUCACAAUGACCAGGAUUCAGUGCACGCUGUGACGGGGUCACUGUGGGUUUGUUCACAGAGUUCCUGCUGGUUCCCAGGUGGUGGA
rnacentral:sRNA from 1 species